CGUUGCCAAGGACGCGCGCGCCUCCGCCUUCCGGCCGCGAGAGGCGUGCCCAGGACCGUGAAGGGGAAUCCGGCUUCGCGCCGCGCCACUAGACCCGGACUCGGAGCCGCGGGCGCCCGGAGAUGAGCGGCGAUGACUCCUGCCUUAUGGCUGGGAUCAUUUACUACAGCCAGGAAAAGUACUUCCGCCACCUGCAGCAGGCUGCGGCUGUGGGCUUGGAGAAAUUCAGCAAUGACCCCGUGCUGCAGUUCUUUAAAGCCUAUGGAGUCCUCAGGGAAGAGCGUAUCCAGGAUGCCAUCAGCAACUUGGAGAGCAUCCGGAAUUACCCAGAUGUGUCCCUGUGCUCCAUCAUGGCCCUCAUUUAUGCUCACAAACGCUGUGAAACCAUUGACCGAGAAGCUAUUCAGGAGCUGGAGAGCAGCUUGAAGGAAAUCCGCAAGACAGCCAGUGGGACUGCCCUGUACUAUGGCGGCCUCUUCCUCUGGCUCUUGGGCCACCAUGACAAGGCCAAGGAGUACAUCGACCGCAUGCUGAAGGUCUCCAGCAGCUCCAGAGAGGGCUAUGUGCUCAGAGGCUGGGUGGACCUCACCUCAGAGAAGCCCCACACUGUGAAGAAAUCCAUCAAGUACCUGGAACAAGGAAUUCAGGAUACCAAAGAUGUGCUGGGGCUGAUGGGAAAGGCAAUGUACUUGAUGAUGCAGCAGAACUACUCGGGGGCCCUGGAGGUGGUGAACCAGAUCACCGUCGCCUCAGGGAGCUUCCUGCCUGCCCUGGUCCUGAAGAUGCGGCUGUUCUUGGCUCGGCAGGACUGGGAGCAGACAGUAGAAAUAGGACACAGAAUCCUAGAAAAAGAUGAAAGCAAUAUUGAUGCCUGCCAAAUUCUAGCUGUGCAUGAGCUCGCAAGAGAAGGAAACAUGACCACAGCUGCCGAGCACGUUAGAAAUCUGAUUAAGGCGCUAGAGAAAAGAGAGCCCCAAAAUCCAAGCCUCCAUCUGAAAAAAAUCCUUGUGGUUAGCAGACUGUGUGGGAGGCACCCGGUGAUUCUACAGCUAGUGUAUAGCUUCAUUGAACGCACCUUCAUGGCCACACCCUCCUACGCCCAUGUGGCCACAGAGCUGGGCUAUCUCUUCAUCCUGCAGGACCAAGUGAAGGAGGCAUCCCUCUGGUACUCGGAGGCCAUGAAACUGGAUGACAGCAGUGUGGCUGCCUUGACAGGGAUCAUCUGGUGCCAGAUCUUAGACGGCCACCUGGAGGAGGCUGAGCACCAGCUGGAAUUCCUGAAGGAGGUGCAGCAGUCCCUUGGGAAAUCUGAGGUGCUGGUUUUCCUCCAAGCCCUUCUGGCGUCCAAGAAGCACAAGGAGGAGCAGGAAGCCACAGUGCUCCUGAAGGAGGCAGCGGAGCUGCACUUCUCCAGCAUGCAGGGCCUCCCCCUGAGCACCAAGUACUUUGAAAAGCUGGACCCCCUCUUCCUGAUCUGCAUCGCCAAGGAGUACUUGUUCUUCUGCCCCAAGCAGCCCCGGUCACCAGGCCAGAUUGUGUCUCCACUUCUUAAACAAGUUGCUGUGAUCUUGAAUCCUGUAGUCAAAGCAGCACCAGCUCUGAUCGACCCCCUGUAUGUAAUGGCUCAGGUCAAGUAUCUCUCAGGAGAGUUAGAGAAUGCCCAGAGCACCCUACAGCGUUGCCUGGAACUGGACCCCACCUCCGUGGACACCCACCUUCUCAUGUCCCAGAUCUACCUGGCUCAGGGCAACUUUGCCAUGUGCUCCCACUGCUUAGAGCUGGGCGUCAGCCACAACUUCCAGGUCCGAGACCACCCCCUCUACCACUUCAUCAAGGCCAGGGCCCUCAACAAGUCUGGGGACUAUCCAGAAGCCAUAAAGACAUUGAAAAUGAUCAUAAAAUUGCCAACUGUGAAGAUGGAAGAAAGCAAGAAGUUCCGUGGGCCCUCGGUGCAGCCCAGCGAACGGGUAUCCAUCUUACUGGAACUGGCAGAUGCCCUCCGGAUGAAUGGGGAGCUGCAUGAGGCCACCAAGGUCAUGCAGGAUGCCAUCAACGAGUUCAGCGGCACGCCAGAGGAGAUCCGCAUCACUAUCGCUAAUGUGGACUUGGCCCUGAGCAAGGGGAACGUGGACAUGGCACUGAGCAUACUGAGGAACAUCACGCCCAAGCAGCCCUGCUACACAGAAGCAAGGGAGAAGAUGGCCAGCAUCUACCUGCAGACCCGCAAAGACAUCCGCCUCUACAUAGGAUGCUACCGGGAUCUCUGUGAACAUCUGCCUGGCCCGCACACCAGCCUGCUACUGGGUGAUGCUUUCAUGAAAAUUCAGGAGCCUGAGAAGGCCCUGGAGGUCUAUGACGAGGCCUAUCGCAAGAACCCACACGAUGCCUCCCUGGUCAGCAGGAUUGGGCAAGCUUAUGUGAAAACCCACCAGUACACCAAGGCGAUUAAUUAUUACGAGGCUGCCCAGAAGAUUAGCGGACAAGACUUUCUGUGCUGUGAUCUGGCUGAACUGCUCCUGAAGUUAAAGAAAUUCAACAAAGCAGAAAAAGUUUUGAAGCAGGCCCUGGAACAUGACUUUGUCAAAGACAUCCCAUCCAUGAUGAAUGACGUCAAGUGCUUACUUUUGCUAGCAAAGGUUUAUAAGAGCCAUAAAAAAGAAGAUGUGAUGGAAACUUUGAACAAGGCCAUGGACCUUCAGUUUCGGAUACUGAAGCGUGUUCCACUGGAGCAACCCGAAAUGAUCCCCUCCCAAAAGCAACUGGCAGCCUCCAUCUGCAUCCAGUUUGGUGACCAGUACCUGGCAGAGAAGGAGUAUGCCAAGGCAGUGCGAUCUUAUAAGGAUGCCCUCUCCUACUCGCCUAUUGACAAUAAGGUGGUGCUGGAGCUAGCGCAGCUCUACCUGCUCCAAGGGCACUUGGACUUGUGUGAGCAGCAUUGUGCCAUCCUCCUGCAGACUGAGAAGAACCAUGAGACCGCCUCUGCAAUGAUGGCUGACCUGAUGUUUAGAAAACAGAAAUAUGAAGCCGCCAUCAAUCUCUACCACCAAGUCCUAGAGAAAGCGCCAGAUAAUUUUCCCAUAUUGAAUAAACUAAUCGAUCUGCUACGAAGAAGUGGCAAACUUGAAGAUGCCCCUGCCUACUUUGAAUUGGCCAAGAAGAUGUCCAGCCGCGUGCCUUUGGAGCCAGGGUUCAACUACUGCAGAGGCAUCUACUGCUGGCACAUAGGGCAGCCCAACGAAGCCCUGAAGUUCCUAAACAAAGCACGCAAGGACAGCAUGUGGGGCCAGAGAGCCACCUACUACAUGGUGCAGAUCUGUCUGAACCCAGACAGUGAGAUCGUGGGCGGAGAGGCUUUGGAGAACCUGGUGGCUGAGAGCAACGCCCCCGACAGGAAGGAGUCGGAGCAGCACGGCGUGCGCACGGCCGAGAAGCUGCUGCGCGAGUUCUACCCGCGCUCGGCCUGGGGCCAGACCCAGCUGAGGCUGCUGAAGAGCCUCUGCCUGCUGGCCACCAGGGAGAAGGCCAACGUGGAGGCGGCGCUGAGCACCUUCAUCGAGAUGGCGCAGGCCGAGAAGGACAGCGUCCCCGCCCUGCUGGCCAUGGCACAGGCCUACAUGCUGCUGAAGCAGGUCCCCAAGGCGCGCACGCAGUUGAAGCGCCUGGCCAAGGCCCCGUGGGCGCUGGCCGAGGCCGAGGACCUGGAGAAGAGCUGGCUCCUGCUGGCCGACAUCUACUGCCAGGGCAGCAAGUUCGACCUCGCUUCGGAGCUGCUGCGGCGCUGCGUGCAAUACAACAAGUCCUGCUGCAAGGCCUACGAGUACAUGGGCUUCAUCAUGGAGAAGGAGCAGUCCUACAAGGACGCAGCCAACAACUACGAGCUGGCCUGGAAGUACAGUCAUCAAGCCAACCCUGCCAUUGGCUUUAAACUCGCUUUCAACUACUUGAAGGAUAAGAGAUACGUGGAGGCCAUCGAAGUCUGCCACAAUGUCCUCAGGGAGCACCCCAACUACCCCAAAAUCAGAGAAGAAAUUUUGGAAAAGGCCCAAGGAUCUUUGAGGCCCUAGCUGUCGUCAGUGGGAGCCAGUGUGGGUGGAAGCCAUCAACCGACAGAAGUUUCAUGGAGGGUGUAGGAAGUGGGAUGGCAGUAAUGGGCCAGUCUGACCUCAGGGGAAGGAACUCUGAGCCGGGAGUUAGGAGGCCUAGAAUCUUCCCGUGAGAUCUUCCCAAGACCCUUCCCCUCUCUGGGUCUCAGUGUCCCCAUCUGUGGCAGGAAAUUAGACUAGAUCUGUGUUCUCAAAUCAUAGCACAAAUCCCUGCCAAUGACAGACAGCAAACAUUUGAAAGUUUAAUAACUAUGUGUUUAAAUAUAAUUUUUAUAUAAUAAAAAUAGCUCAACAAACUCA